CCCGACACCCAGUGUGACUGUGAACAAGACAAAUAUGAAUGCCACGUGUUCAACCCAGGGGGGAUACCCACAGCCAGUCGUCACAUGGACCAUCCAGGACGUCCUAUUGGCUCAGAACCGCACUCUGGACCCGUGGGAAGUACAGACCAAUAUUACUGUUGGUUCUGAAAGUGGACUGUACACCGUUUGGAGCCAAGUGAAUUUAACAGAAAAUCAGACGGUGACCUGCCAUAUCUUCAACCCCGUUCUGAGAGAGACUGUGAGCAACACAACCAUCGUCAGCCCCAGUCAGAGCAUUAACACAGACCCUGCAGGUGAAGUUCAGGAAGACUCUACUCCUGGCAUUAUUGGAGUUAUCAUUACAGUAUUGAUUCUGUUUUGCUUCGGGGGGAUUUAUUUUGUGUACAAAAAAUGUUGUGGAUCCAGCGGUGGAACCAUAGAAGUUGAAGGAAAUAACCAUCAAGGAAACGGUAGUGGUGAGACAGAGUUUUUGGCCAGGUGUAGGCAGGCACCAGACAAUCUAGAGGCAGACUGAUGGGACAUUUCUUUCUAUACGGGUCCAUAUUUUGGACAUAUCAGUGUACUGUAUCCCAACGGAGUCUACCUCUUCUGUUGGAAGUAUUUUAAUGUUUUUCCCUAUUAUUAGCCAGUUAUUAGAAAAUAUUUUUAAAUACUGUCACAGGUUUGGUGUCAUCCUUGGGUGUACUCCCUGAGGUUGCCACUGGAGGGCACCCUUAUGUUGUUUCUUGUGUCCAGGUGAUCCUGAUUGGUCUUAUUGGGUUCACCUGUUGAAUGACUAUUUAGGUUCCUCUGUGGACUGUGCUGGUUGCUUAGGUCUCUUGUUUCGUUUAGUGUACUCGUAUGCUAUUGCUUUGUUGUUUUGCUGUGAAGACUGAAGUUCUGGAUUUACAUUUACCUCUGCCUGCUGUGUUUCUCUGCGCCUGCGUCCGAGUUCGUACUAGCACUAAUGUCACAAAUACUUAUUUCCAAACACAUUGUAUUCAAAAUACAUUCCAAUUUUAAACUACAUCUGUUUUUAAAUUAAAAAAAAUCCCAAAAUGUUCUUCUAAAUGUUUUUGAAAAUAAGCGAAAUACCCUAAAUAGUAUUUUAAAUAAAGUCUGAUAGUCAGUGGACAAACCUAUCUAGUGGGAACCAAGACAUCUGACGUUGAAAAUGCAUUUGUGUUUUAUAUUUGACUUGAAUAUAUGAAGAACACUGAAGUUAAAUGUUUUAUCUAAAAUUGACCAGUAAGUGAGACCUGAACCUUUAACUAGCCACCUCAUUCUCUCUGCAUGCCUUUGUGUAACAAGCUACUGUAGAGGUUCUGAAGCUUGUGCUCUGAUCAAGGACUAGAUUCAAUCCGGACCAACAUUUUAAACAUUUUUACAUUUUGGAUUGAGCCCCAUAUGCAGCCUUUAAAUUUCACUAGUGCGGGUCCAGAUUGAAUCCAGGCCUAAAACCAUGUAAUCCUCAGCACACUGGUACAGUUGUGUUCUCUCAGACUGACUAGAGGAGACAUUUUCACUCUGCUAAACAGACCUCACUGUGUUCAACAUUAGGGACAGCUGUUACAGAACUGUAACCAGGCCUAUCUGUUACUUUAUGACAAGAUUUUGAUUUGUGGAGGCUAAUUUCUGCAUUACCAAAUGAGGAGAGUUAGAAACUUCACAUACCAGUCAGAGUUAUACUUAAACGACAUCUUUAAUAAUUAGAGCUUUGCAAAAGCCCUUUGACUUUCAAUGAUGCGUCAUCUCUAAUGAACCAAUGAAAAGUGUCAAGACAAAAGUACAAAGAUCUUUUAUAGCCAAGAUACACCCCUCUCAACGUACAUGACGAACCACAGAUACAUAGAAUGGGUCACAAGGUUAAGUUAUGUAUGAAAGAUAUCUAUAAAACAGCAGAUGGCAACUGCUGUGUCAACAGUUUUCAUUGUAUAGACUAGUGUCUGGUCCUCCUACUCCAAACUUGAACCGUCUCUCCCAUUAGCUAGAUACUCCCAUCUCAAGUAAACCCCCUCUUGACUCCACUCCUGGACAAGCUCACUGAGGGGAGCGAGCCUCAAGGUCAUACACUAUCCCAAGAUAAGUGCAACA